CCUACGGGUGGCAGCAGUCGAGAAUCAUUCACAAUGGGGGAAACCCUGAUGGUGCGACGCCGCGUGGGGGAAUGAAGGUCUUCGGAUUGUAAACCCCUGUCAUGUGGGAGCAAAUUCAAACGAUAGUACCACAACAGGAAGAGCCGGCUAACUCUGUACCAGCAGCCGCGGUAAUACGGAGGUCUCAAGCGUUGUUCGGAAUCACUGGGCGUAAAGCGUGUGUAGGCUGUUUCGUAAGUCGUGUGUGAACGUCGCGGGCUCAACCCGCGGACGGCACAUGAUACUGAGAGACUAGAGUAAAGGAGGGGGGAGCGGAAUUCUCGGUGUAGCAGUGAAAUGCGUAGAUAUCGAGAGGAACACUAGUGGCGAAGGCGGGUUCCUGGACAUUAACUGACGCUGAGGCACGAAGGCCAGGGGAGCGAAAGGGAUUAGAUACCCGGGUAGUC
rnacentral:rRNA from 1 species